UCAAUAUAGAUUGAUAUGAUAGUAGGAUUUAUUUAUUUAUUUUAAUUUUUUUUUUAUUUAGUUAUUAAAAAUAGUUAUAUGUUUAUGUGUUUUAGUAUUUUUUAGAACUAAUAGUUAUUUAUGAUAGUUGAUUUUGUACUGUGGAGGGUAAUUGAAAUAAUUUGAAAAAUUUUUAUUUAAUAAGAAGAUUUUAUUUGUUGUACCUUGUGUGUCAGGGUGUAUCAAUUAAUUAAAUUUUAUGAAUUUAAUCUCGAUUUUAUAAGAGUUAAUAAGCUAUUAAAGUUAAUGUUUCAGAAUUAUUUUUUAUAGCUUAUUGGAAAUGAAAUGUUAUUCGUUUAUGAAGGUAUCUAGUUUUUCUAGAAAUAAAUUUAAUUUAUGGAUUUUUAAUUUUUUAUUUUAUUUUAUUAAUUAAAAAAUUUAUUAGUUCAAAUACCUUAGGGGAUAAGCUUUGAGGUAUAGUGUUAAAAGAGUUUAUAUUGGUAUGAAUUAAAUGUAUGUAUAGAAGUUGCAAUCAUUAACAAGUUUGUUAUAAGAUAUUUUUAUUUAUUUUAUUAUUUAUUUUUCUUUAAUUAUUUAUAGAAACAUUAUUUUUAAUAUUUUAGGAUAAGAGAAAAUGAUUUAAUUAGUAUAUUUAUUUAUUGUUUGUUUGUAUGUGUAUGGUAAGUUUAUAUAAAGAACUCGGCAAAUUUUAUGCCCGCCUGUUUAACAAAAACAUGUCUUUUUGAGUUAUUUUAAAAGUCUAGCCUGCCCACUGAGAAUUUUUGAAUGGCCGCAGUAUAUUAACUGUGCAAAGGUAGCAUAAUCAUUAGUCUUUUAAUUGAAGGCUGGAAUGAAUGGUUGGACGAGGUAUAAGCUGUUUCAUAUGGAAUUAUUUUAGAAUUUUAUUAUUUAGUUAAAAAGCUAAAAUUUAGUUAAAAGACGAGAAGACCCUAUAAAUCUUUAUAUUUUAUAUUAUAUUAAUUUUAUGGAUUUUAUUUUAUUUUUAUAUUAUAAAAUAUUUUAUUGGGGUGAUAUUAAAAUUUAAAAAACUUUUAAUUUUAUUUUACCAUUAAUUUAUGAUUGAUUGAUCCGUUAUUAGUGAUUAUAAGACUAAGUUACUUUAGUGAUAACAGCGUAAUUUUUUUGGAGAGUUCUUAUCGAUAAAAAAGAUUGCGACCUCGAUGUUGGAUUAAGAUAUAAUUUUAGGUGCAGCCGCUUAAAUUUUGAGUCUGUUCGACUUUUAAAUUCUUACAUGAUCUGAGUUCAAACCGGUG
rnacentral:rRNA from 1 species